UACGGAGGGGGCUAGCGUUGUUCGGAAUUACUGGGCGUAAAGCGCGCGUAGGCGGCUUUGUAAGUCAGAGGUGAAAGCCUGGAGCUCAACUCCAGAACUGCCUUUGAUACUGAAGAUCUUGAGUCCGGGAGAGGUGAGUGGAACUGCGAGUGUAGAGGUGAAAUUCGUAGAUAUUCGCAAGAACACCAGUGGCGAAGGCGGCUCACUGGCCCGGUACUGACGCUGAGGCGCGAAAGCUAGGGGAGCAAACGGG
rnacentral:rRNA from 1 species